rnacentral:rRNA from 1 species
CCUGCAUUAUUUGACGUUACCUACAGAAGAAGCACCGGCUAACUCCGUGCCAGCAGCCGCGGUAAUACGGAGGGUGCGAGCGUUAAUCGGAAUUACUGGGCGUAAAGACGCAUGCAGGCGGCCUGUUAAGUCAGAUGUGAAAGACCCGGGGCGUUAACCUCGGAAAUUGCAUUUGUAAACUAGGCAGGCUAGAGUCUUGUAGAGGGGGGUAGGGAAUUUCUAGGUGUAGCGGUGAAAUAGCGUAGAGAUCUGAAGGAAUACCAGUGGCGAAGGCGGCCCCCUGGACAAAGACUGACGCUCAGAUGCGAAAGCGUGGGGAGCAAACACGGAUUAGAUACCCUCGGUAG